AAGAUUUCUCCUUGAGCGGCAGAGAAGAGAGAUGGGGAGGGCAGGGUGCUGGCAGAGACCACUCAGCACUUUACAGCUCGUUGACCUGUGUGCAGCAGCUCAAGCUGGAUAAGGAGUUGGGAGGACAGUGAAACCCACCCUCCAUAUUCUUUCUUGAACACCCUGCACGCUCCAGUUGCUUCCGCUGUUGGACAGCCCAGGCCCUAUUUCAGAAGGCACACCUCUUCCCUUGCAAAAGCAGACCCGUGCCAUCUUUACUGCCUCGGUAACAACCAAAGCCAGAGCAGUGCAGUUUCCAUGUGUAGACCUCUGAGUGAAGUAGUGGAACACUCAUUUGACAGGGGUUUGAACCUACUGCUCCUUCUUCCCAAGGGGAAUUAAAUAUGAAGGCAGAAGUUGUUCUGAGAUUCAGGAGAAGUAAAGAGGGAGACAAACAGAGCAGAACUCUUCAUCCUUCAUCUCAAGAGUGGAUCAUUCUGCAGUGAGAAAUCUGGGCAAGAAGGAGCCUGUCUUGCUGCAGAUAACAGAAGAUUAAACUCCUUGCUCUGAAUCUGAACUACACAUCACUCACACAGCAAAUAUAAUUGAAAAAAAAUCCCUCUUUUUCUUCUUUAUUAAAUGCCAUCACUUAAUUCAGAAUGCA